rnacentral:snRNA from 1 species
UGCUCAUUUUGGCAGCACCUAAACUAAAACGGAAUGAUACAGAGAUUAGCAUGGCCCCAGAACAAGUAUGACAUUUAAAUCUGUAACGUGUUCCAUAUUUUU